UUUUCCAUUCAUAUAUGCGGGCUGACGUGGGUCACGUGACGUGCCUUUCUCUUUUUUUCCUGUGGAAAAUCUCGUAAAAAGGUACGUUGCGAUUUACUAAUUUGUUUUAUUUACAUUUCUAGGGACCCGUGUAUAGGUUUUCUCGUUCCGUGUUGCUGUUGCGGCGAUCAGGCUUUGAUUGACAUGUGACAACAAACCGGAAAAAUGUUGAGUUCAGGGACGGACCAAAGAGUUCUUUAAAUUGAUUUUUCUGCAUUUUAAUUUAUUUACACUACGAGUCUAAUGGUGUGUGAUAAAAAAACUAUAAAUAUUAUGAUAAAUGAGAUGAAACAAUUAUUUUGAUGGAGUUUAUAAAAUAUUAGGAUCUAUUAUAUUCUUUUUUCUUUAACUGUCAAUUUUUUGACGUAUCUCAUAUAUUAUAGUAUUACAAUGAAGUGCUCUAAUUUAUCUGUUAAAAAAGGUUUCAUCACUGUUUCCUGUAGUAAUUCUCAAUAAAGUUUUAAAUAGGAUAUAUUAAAUAGGAUAUAUUAUCUAAAGUAAACAGGCUUUUAAGCCUUCAAUUUGCCCCAAUUGACAUGAAUUGCGCAUUUCGAAAAGCCAGUGAACGCAGCGUCAUACGGGCACCCCCACCCCACUCCCCCGGAAACCCCCGGAUGAACCCGCAGGAAGGCGCGCGGCUGAAGAACUCUUGGACAGCUGGAAGGCAGCAGGAUCACGGUGAAGGCCUCUUAUGUAUAGAGGACGGGGGCGGAAACGUCACGUGGUCUCCGCAGAGACUGGUCAGUUAUUUGGAGACAACAUGUACAAAUAGUUCCUGGACUGAUCUUCUGCUAACUUUGAGAUGGAGAGGCUGUCAGGUUCAUCUGUUUCAGUGUCCUGCAUGCUCUCCCUCCAUGUUGGCUGUAGCAGUGGAUGGAACUUGCUAAAUGUACUGUUUUGAGAGCCAACUGGGGCUCAGUGGUUAUUUGGAAGAUGCGUUUUUGACCAAAAACACUGUGGUGACCUCCUUUGUGAACUGCAUUCAUGGGGAAAUAAAAUAUGCCUGCAUAU